rnacentral:rRNA from 1 species
GACGAACGCUGGCGGCGUGCUUAACACAUGCAAGUCGAACGGAAAGGCCCUGCUUUUGUGGCGGGCUCGAGUGGCGAGCGGAUGAGUCACACGUGAGUAGCCUGCCCUUGACUUUGGGCUAAUGCUAGGACACUGGGGCUAAUACCGGAUAGGAGCUCCUGCGGCAUGGGGGGGGCUGGAAAGUGUCGGCGGUUGGGGGUGGACUCGCGGUUUACCAGCUAGUUGGUGGGGUAGUGACUGACCAAGGCAUUGGCUGGUCGCCGGCCUGAGAGGGUGGACGGCCAGAUUGGGACUGAGAGACAGACCAGACUGCUACGGGAGGCAGGAGGGGGGAAUAUAGCACAAGGGGCGGAAGCCUGACUCAGCAACGCCGGGUGCGGGAUGACGGCCGUCGGGUUGGAAACCACUUUCGCCUGGGACGAAGGGUGAGUGACGGGAAUGGGUAAAGAAGGACCGGCUAACUACUUG